AGAUUGAACGCUGGCGGCAGGCCUAACACAUGCAAGUCGAGCGGCAGCACGGGUACUUGUACCUGGUGGCGAGCGGCGGACGGGCGAGUAAUGCCUAGGAAUCUGCCUGGUAGUGGGGGAUAACGCUCGGAAACGGACGCUAAUACCGCAUACGUCCUACGGGAGAAAGCAGGGGACCUUCGGGCCUUGCGCUAUCAGAUGAGCCUAGGUCGGAUUAGCUAGUUGGUGAGGUAAUGGCUCACCAAGGCGACGAUCCGUAACUGGUCUGAGAGGAUGAUCAGUCACACUGGAACUGAGACACGGUCCAGACUCCUACGGGAGGCAGCAGUGGGGAAUAUUGGACAAUGGGCGAAAGCCUGAUCCAGCCAUGCCGCGUGUGUGAAGAAGGUCUUCGGAUUGUAAAGCACUUUAAGUUGGAGGAAGGCAGUUACCUAAUACGUAUCUGUUUGACGUUACGACAGAAUAAGCACGGCUAACUCUGUG
rnacentral:rRNA from 1 species